AACCAAACCAAACAUCUCGUCCCAGCUCCCAUUGUAUGAAAGAUUCAACCACUCAUUUGGAUAUUUAUGAGGUUUGUGCAUCAUCUGCUGUUCCACCUAACUAUUACGACCCUGGGGCAGAAUGUGCUUAAAUUUCUCCCUUAGGGUGUGAUGCAUUGGAUGUGAAAUUAGGGUGUUAUAAAUUGGAAAUUAAUGUGGGAUUGACUGCAGGCAGUGUGAGGGGUUUCUAUGAUGAGUCUCUUUUGUCUUGGCCCUUGGGACUCAACUUUUGGUUACCUGAAAAACAAACUACUUUUAUGUUGGCACAUCCUUCAUUGUCUAUUAUUUUGUCCAUUCAAGCAGUGAGCCAAUGAACCUUAUAGGACCAUUAGCUGCAUUUCUGCUGAUGAAUCUGCCUACCAAUUAUGUGGUGUAGAUCUGCAUAUAUUACCAAAAGCAAAUGAAUCAUGUUAAUCAAGAAAAUGUCAAUUUUCCUGGUUUUAAAGGUUGUUCAUGAUUCUUUCUCAUUUUCUCUAUACAGGUGAUAACUGCAAUGACUUAUCAGAUAAUUCCAGAACGAGGUUUAAUGCUAUUUGUGAUUUUCAGUUUAUCCCACAUGUUUGGAAUGCUUAUUCUGUGUUCAAAUUUUAUCUCAUAAUAGCCACCUGCUAUUGAUAUUUGUUUGUAUUGCUGCUAGAUUUAUAUGGCCAAUCUAUGAAAUGUCCUUUUUGUUUCAAACUUCCAUUUUGAAUUUUAAACUCGAAUUGAUGUUUUUGAACAAAAAUUUUCCAACGAUGCAAGAGAGGUAAAAAGGGUUAAGAGUUAAAAAAUAGAUAUCUUUAAGGCAAGAUAUUCAAAUGCUCAUGCACUCUCAAACAUUUCACCUGAGACCUGCAUGGUUCUAGAUUCUCUUCAUGUUACCUUAGUUUCUCAUUAAAUAGUGAAUUUCCAUUUUUAAAAUGCACAGAUAAGGUUGUUCUGAUGCAUGCAUUUGAUAGGAUUAGUAUAUCGUAGACUCCAUUUAUUUUUAUAUAGGUGUUCUUUUUGCUCUGCUUCUCAAUGUAUAUUCUACUCCAUGGAAAAUUCAUAUACAUUUGACAUUUUAUCUCCCAAGACUUUUGAUUGAUGCAAGUGAUUUUCAGGGGAUUGGUUGCCUUCUGUAUGCAGAGUUGAGAAAGAAACUGCAAUACUGAUUUUUGGUUUCUGGUUGCUAUAUUUAUCAAUUUGUCAACUAGUGCCACCUUAUGAAUUUUGUUUCAUUAAAUCAAUAAAUUUAUUGAAAGAAGAGAAUUUGGUUCAACCAAGUAUUUUUAGUGGAUUUCCUCAUAAAUUUCAUGAAUGUUUCCCCAUGUAGGACCCGGUUGCUUGGUCUUGAAAAUAUUGAGAGAUGUGUUUUGGAUUCUUUGCACUGAUAGGAUGAAUAUCAUUGUUUUAACAGUGGCAGGCUGCUUACACCCUGGGUUCCGCUUAUAGAAUGUCGUUUAUGCUUUGCACACGGUUAUGUUUAUAGAAGAGAAUUAGGAGCCUAACUCUCGCAUGCCUUUUGGAUUACUGAGUGCAGGUUAAACAGUUGUAUUUUGUUGCACCUCAUGAGCUCCAUUUUCAAAUAGGUCACCCGUUUUUUAAGAAGCAUAUCGCACACAUGCUCAAUUACAAGGUUGAGAUGCUAUUGCUUGCUUACUUUAAUUUGGUAAUUAAAAAAAAAAAAAAUUGGUCCAAUUGUUCCACAUUAGGAUAUUCUUUGGUAGGUUUGGAUGGUCUGAAGAUUAACCUAAGGCCGUAUCAUAAUGGUCAGUAUUAUCUGUCCAAGUUAUGGUUUUUUACACAACUGCAAUGGUGACAACUUAUGUUCCUCCUCCUUCGAGAGUUAAAAAUGAAUGUUGAGAAGUAGAGCUAAUCCCGAUAAGGGAUUAGAGUCAAAACCAGGACCCGAUAGGGGCCUUUUGGUCCUAUCAGGUCCAUAUUUGGGUAAUUUAGGGCUGCGGCUUAGUGAGGGGCUUUUAUGUAUUUUCUCCUUUGGUUUUAUGCAUUAUAUAUACAACAUAUUGACCUGCGAUCAGCCUAUUUCUGGACUGAUCGCAGGCAGCUCUAUUUCUGGACAGCUUUCGGUCUCUCCUUUUAUUCUUCUUCUUCUUCUCUUUUCUGGCUUCUGGUUUUGGUUACAAGGUUUCUACUUUGCAACAAUGAAUAUCAGAGAAAUGCAUUCAAGAAAGCCUCAAAUUUAUUGUACUUGCAUAUCCAAUUAGUUUUGUGAAUCCAAGUGAUUGAUUCUUGUUACUUUUGAUGUUUCAGCUCGUGGCAUGAACUAUCCUGAUGUUACUUUGGUGAUUUAGGUCGCUUACAACUUGGUGUGCUCAUAACUCUACUACAUUUUGUUUGAUGGUCUAGAUGACUUGUGCGAUGGUACUUCAAUAGACACUUACAGGGCAUAAGUAUUGGUAGAAGCAUACACCAUAUUCGUUGGCCCUAAAAGGAAAUUAGGAAUGCUACCUAACCUCUAAACCAAUGAAUGAGCAGUCAACAGAUUCCCUGUUCGAAUUGCAAGUGAGGGAGUAGUUGGUAGGAAAAUGCAAUUAGUUUUCAAUGUUGGUUGACCAGACAGGGUAUCUCAUCUGCAAAUGGCUGAGGCUGUUGCAAAUAUCAGAGGAUACAACAUUUCAUUGAUCAGACCUAUUUCUACAACAUCAGUAAGCCACUCACCCAACCCCUUUGCUUUUUUUUCCUCUUGAAAUCUCAUUCAGAAACUUGUGAUGCAUAAAACAUGACUUUCUCAUAACAUGGGUAUCUUGGACAAACCUUACCCUUCGAUAUUAUAAAUGACAAAGGUAGCCGUAGAGAUCACAAAAAUCCAUUAAAGAAACAAAAGUUUAUCCGCAAAUGCCGAGGAGGAACUUGAAUCCAAGCUAGGGUUUGAUCUAUUUUUUGAAUGAGAAAAGAGUCUUGGAUGGUUGCUUCGAUAUUGUAAAUGGCAAAGGUGGACGUAGAGAUCACAAAGAUCCAUUAAAGAAACAAAAGCUUAUCCCCAAACGCCGAGGAGGAACUCGAAUCCAAGCUAGCAUUUGAUCUAUUUUUUUAACAAGUAAAGAGUCUUGGAUGGUUGUUUACUUUUGCAUCCGUAAAUUUUAUACGGUACUUGCUUGCUCAUUCCAUCCUUAUCCUCUUCCGCUUCAUUAUAUUUGGAGUUCCUUAUGUUGUUAGC